GGAAAGGAGAGGGAGGUUUAGGUAGUCAGGAAAGAAGGAAAGAUGAAAGGAAGAAGAGGGAGGAAGGGAGGGAGAUAGUGAAGGAUAAAAUACACAUUAUGAUAGAGAAGGAAGAGAUGAUGAAGGGAAGGAAAGGAGGAGGAGGAGGAGGAGGAGGAGGAAAUUUAUUGAAUUAUGAAGAGAGGGAUUAGAGGGAAGGAGAGAGAGAGAGAGAAUUGGGGGACGAAGUUUUGAGAAUAUGACCCUAUGACCUAAAACCAGAGCCGUUAAACAGAAGACCUCGACCAACUUCAUCAUCCCCGGCACCUCACUCAUCUCGCAGGGAGGCUUACGUGGACAACAACAGCUUCCUCCGCUACACCAUCGCCGAGCGGUUCACGCGGGCGGACGGAACCAGCGAUCUGUACCUGGUUCGCGAGAGGGUGUUUCCGAGUUACCUGGGCCUGUUGGUGCCUCACGACGCGCCCUACACGAGAAACCUUGACCUUUGGCUGCAGGCGAUCGUAGAGAGCGGUCUUUACAUCAAGUGGACAGAUGACGUGGUCCGCCAAAUCCGCGUCCAGAGCCAGCAGCGGCGGAGGAAGGACGCGGCCGAGCAGGAGGAGGAAGCAGGAGGAGAAGCAGGAGCAGGAGGGAGCAGGGAGGAUGUGUCGGAGGGGAGCACUGUGGCCUUGAACCCCACGCAUUUGCAAGGAGCGUUCGCCGUCCUCUUCUGCGGGGUCACUCUCGCGCUGAUCGCUUUUGUACUUGAAGUCACGUCAAAAUCAGUCAAGUUCUUUGAUUAAUUGGCUACACACACACACACACACACACACACACACAGAGACAAUAUAAAAUUAGUCAAGUUCUUUGAUUAAUAGGCUAUACAGUAACACACACACACACACACACACACAGAGACAAUAUAAAAUUAGUCAAGUUCUUUGAUUAACUGGCUACACACACACACACACACACACACACACACACACACACAGAGAGAGACAAUAUAAAAUUAGUCAAGUUCUUUGAUUAAUAGGCUAUACAGUAACACACACACACACACACACUAUAAAAACACCCGAUCUGAAAACAAACACGAUUCUACAAUUAUAUUUACUCACAAAAGUCAUAUAAUCUCACCCGCCAAUCAAUAUUCUAAAACUACAAUAAAAAGAUAACUACCACUUUAACUAAUUGAAACUACUGUACUAACUAUCUACUACUACUACUACUACGACUACUACUACACCAGCGAAGUUCAGGUUACCAUCGGACUAGGCUACCGUUUUUAGGCUACAUUGGCAACACUUGUAAGGUUUUAUUGAUAGGCUGCUUGUUGUUAAGGUUACUCCACUGUACUUCUCGUAAUUAUAGGCUACUCUUUUAUGGGCUACACCAGAAGAAAUUUUAAGUAUAGCCCUACGAUUUUUUUCCUUUUAAUAUAUUGUGAUCUUUAGUCUCGAGCAAGUUCAACAUCGAUUCCACUCCAUUUGCCAUUAUGUCUAAGUAUUUGUAUCUGGCAUGACUAUUUAACUGCAGAAUUCUCACAUAACAACAAUAACCGUUAGAAGAAUAGAAAUGAGUGAAUAAAUAAUUGUAACUGGU